CAGGGGGUUAUAAAAGCGACAAUCUCGCCUAUUCCUCUUCAGUUUAUUCCCGUUGAGCGUAACAAUGAACUUCUCAUUUAUCCUUUUCUUCUGCCUCAUCCUGGUUUUGGCUCUCGCCGUCCCAAGUGAUGCUGCCUUCGCAGAUGUUGUGAAGAAAAUUGGGACAGUCAUUGUGAAACUAAUUAACGGAGUCAAGUAUGGAUUUUCAAAUGUUUAAAACUGGUUUCUAGUGUAAAAACUCGAUCUUCCAAAUACGUUAUGAAAAUUACCCGGAUUACAUGUCAAAUGGGUUUUAAAUAAAACGAUUUGAUUUGUGGAACUUUAA